AGCAGCCGCGGUAAUUCCAGCUCCAAUAGCGUAUAUUAAAGUUGCUGCAGUUAAAAAGCUCGUAGUUGAAUUUCGGGACCAAUAUGUCGGUCGUGCUUCGGUACGUACUGUCAUAAUUGGUUUCUCCCUUCUGAAGAACCUUGAUGUCAUUAAUUUGGUGUCUUGGGGAAUCAGGACUGUUACUUUGAAAAAUUAGAGUGUUUAAAGCAGGCUCGCGCUUGAAUACAUUAGCAUGGAAUAAUGAAAUAGGACGUUUGAUUCUAUUUUGUUGGUUUCUAGGAUCGACGUAAUGAUUAAUAGGGAUAGUUGGGGGCAUUAGUAUUCAAUUGUCAGAGGUGAAAUUCUUGGAUUUAUUGAAGACUAACUACUGCGAAAGCAUUUGCCAAGGAUGUUUUCAUUAAUCAAGAA
rnacentral:rRNA from 1 species